rnacentral:rRNA from 1 species
AACGAACGCUGGCGGCAUGCCUAACACAUGCAAGUCGAACGAGACCUUCGGGUCUAGUGGCGCACGGGUGCGUAACACGUGGGAAUUUGCCUCGGGGUAUGGAAUAACUCAGGGAAACUUGAGCUAAUACCAUAUAAUGUCUUCGGACCAAAGAUUUAUCGCCCUGAGAUAAGCCCGCGUAGGAUUAGCUAGUUGGUGGGGUAAAGGCUCACCAAGGCGACGAUCCUUAGCUGGUCUGAGAGGAUGAUCAGCCACACUGGGACUGAGACACGGCCCAGACUCCUACGGGAGGCAGCAGUGGGGAAUAUUGGACAAUGGGCGAAAGCCUGAUCCAGCAAUGCCGCGUGAGUGAUGAAGGCCUCGGUUGUAAACUGCUUUGUACAGGAAGAAACCCUACCCACCGUGUGGGAGGCUUGACGGUACUGUAGGAAUAAGGAUCGGCUAACUACCGUGCCAGCAGCCGCGGUAAUGUGAC